rnacentral:lncRNA from 1 species
AGAUUUCAGGAGUACAUGUGCAGGGGUUUUUUUGUCGUUGUUUUUGUUUUUUUGAGACAGAGUUUCACUUUUCGUUGCCCAGGCUGGAGUGCAAUGGCGCGAUCUCGGCUCACCGCAACCUCCACCUCCCAGGUUCAAGCAAUUCUCCUGCCUCAGCCUCCCGAGUAGCUGGGAUUACAGGCAUGCGCCACCACACUCAGCUAAUUCUGUAUUUUUAGUAGAGACGGGGUUUCUCCAUGUUGGUCAGGCUGGUCUCAAACUCCCGACCUCAGGUGAUCCGCCUGCCUCAGCCUCCCAAAGUGCUGGGAUUACAGGCAUGAGCCACCGCGCCCAGCCCACAUGUGCAGGUUUGUUACAUGGGUCAAUUGUGUGUUGUUGUGGGCCAGGAACAGUUCUAAAGGUCUUUACUCACAUCAACAGCUCACAUCAUCCUCAGGAAAACUCUAUGAGGGAGGUAGACUAAAAAUUAUUCCCAUUUUCCGGAUGAGGUAACAGGCCAGAAAGGUUAACUGACUUGCCCAAAGUGACACAGCUGGGCAGAAGUGAGAUUCAAACCUAGGCCAAGGGCUCCAGAGUCCCAGAUCUUAGCUAUUUUGUCGCUAAAGUCUCUUGAAAGCUAUUUAAACAAGGACUACGAUAUAGCCCUUGUUCCUCUUCACCUCCUACCACCCUCUGACUCAUUCACUCCACUAUAGCUCCUGACCUUCAGUCUAUUCCCUGAAAAUGACAAGCUGG